AAACUUGAGAGUUUGAUCCUGGCUCAGAACAAACGCUGGCGGCGUGCCUAACACAUGCAAGUCGUACGAGAAAGGGU
rnacentral:rRNA from 1 species